GGAGGAGGAGUGUCGCGGUCCUUCUGACAGGCCACUGACCUUCGCGUGUCCGCACCUAGCUGCCCGUGCGCUGACUCCAAACCCCAAAAAUUGAGUGCUGAAAGGAACAAAGACGCAUGCAUUUGUGGAGCACUGAGGAUGCUCAAGUGGAGGUGGCAUUGAAGCCUCUGUAGGCAUUCUCACAAGGUGCCUUCCUGAUCCAGAACAGCCAGAACACAACCGAGAAAAUGGACUGAAUUCUGCAGUGAAUCAUUAAGAGCCAAAGAAGACAAAAUCCAUCAUUCCCACCUCCAGGUCAGAUGCUCCGUUUUUUCUUCUGCAGAGAUGAUUGCUAUUUCUGUCUUUGCCCAGAAGAGGUGCUGGUGUAUGCUCAUGAAGUUACAAAUGGCAUCAAGCUGGAGUAAAGUUUGCUGUUUACUCCCAGUGAAGGCAAGCUCUAGAAGGC